UACGAAGGGGGCUAGCGUUGCUCGGAAUCACUGGGCGUAAAGGGUGCGUAGGCGGGUCUUUUAAGUCAGGGGUGAAAUCCUGGAGCUCAACUCCAGAACUGCCUUUGGUACUGAGGAUCUUGAGUUCGGGAGAGGUGAGUGGAACUGCGAGUGUAGAGGUGAAAUUCGUAGAUAUUCGCAAGAACACCAGUGGCGAAGGCGGCUCACUGGCCCGAUACUGACGCUGAGGCACGAAAGCGUGGGGAGCAAACAGGG
rnacentral:rRNA from 1 species